AGAGUUUGAUCCUGGCUCAGGAUGAACGCUGGCGGCGUGCUUAACACAUGCAAGUCGAACGGUGAACACGGAGCUUGCUCUGUGGGAUCAGUGGCGAACGGGUGAGUAACACGUGAGCAACCUGCCCCUGACUCUGGGAUAAGCGCUGGAAACGGCGUCUAAUACUGGAUAUGUGACGUGACCGCAUGGUCUGCGUCUGGAAAGAAUUUCGGUUGGGGAUGGGCUCGCGGCCUAUCAGCUUGUUGGUGAGGUAAUGGCUCACCAAGGCGUCGACGGGUAGCCGGCCUGAGAGGGUGACCGGCCACACUGGGACUGAGACACGGCCCAGACUCCUACGGGAGGCAGCAGUGGGGAAUAUUGCACAAUGGGCGCAAGCCUGAUGCAGCAACGCCGCGUGAGGGACGACGGCCUUCGGGUUGUAAACCUCUUUUAGCAGGGAAGAAGCGAAAGUGACGGUACC
rnacentral:rRNA from 1 species